UGCCAGCCGCCGCGGUAAUACGGAGGGGGUUAGCGUUGCUCGGAAUCAUUGGGCGUAAAGCGCACGUAGGCGGUCCGGUAAGUCGGAUGUGAAAGCCCUAGGCUUAACCAAGGAAGUGCAUUCGAAACUGCCAGACUUGAAUAUGGGAGAGGAUCGCGGAAUUCUCGGUGAAGAGGUGAAAUUCGUAGAUAUCGGGAGGAACACCAGUGGCGAAGGCGGCGGUCUGGACCAAUAUUGACGCUGAGGUGCGAAAGCGUGGGGAGCAAACAGGAUUAGAUC
rnacentral:rRNA from 1 species